AGCUCCAAUAGCGUAUAUUAAAGUUGUUGCAGUUAAAAAGCUCGUAGUUGGAUUUCGGAGUGGGCCCGUUGGUCCGCCGCAAGGUGUGUUACUGACUGGUCUGCUCUUCUUCGCAAAGACUGCGUGUGCUCUUUGUUGAGUGUGCGUAGGAUUUACGACGUUUACUUUGAAAAAAUUAGAGUGUUCAAAGCAGGCUAUUGCUUGAAUACAUGAGCAUGGAAUAAUGGAAUAGGACUUUGGUCCCAUUUUGUUGGUUUCUAGGACCGAAGUAAUGAUUAAUAGGGAUAGUUGGGGGCAUUCGUAUUUAAUUGUCAGAGGUGAAAUUCUUGGAUUUGUUAAAGACGGACUACUGUGAAAGCAUUUGCCAAGGAUGUUUUCA
rnacentral:rRNA from 1 species